rnacentral:pre_miRNA from 1 species
CUGGGUCACUUCUACGGGUCCUUCCUACGACCCGUAGAACUGCCCACGAC